UGUUGUUCCCCACCUCGCUUUCCCCUCGUAGCUAACAGAAGCAAGCCCCCAUCAGACCCAUCCUUGUGGUGAUGUUUAGAUCGAGAAGGAGGAUGGAUCUCCAGUCAUCGUUGACCUCAUGCUCCUCCCGCAAGCUACCUCGACGCUGCAACCCUCCUCCUUGCUCCUCUCGAGCGCAACCACCCCGGUGCCCGCAUGGAUUUUGCCCCAAGGAGUUCCUCCCGAGCUGAAGCGGGAGAGCCCAAGGACGGUGCCAACUGCCUGGCCGGCUCCCAGUCGGUGACCACCGGGUCGAUCCCGCGCCCCGCUUCCCUUCUCCCAUCCCCGUCGAUUCCGUCUCUGUCUCUCUCACCCCAACUCUCUUUUUCUUUCUCUUAAGGAGCUGCCCAUGGAGCCACGGUCGCGCCCCGCGAGCUCCAUCUCGCCGGAUCGAGCCCAACAACCACCAGGAAUGGAGCAGGUGCUCCCGGUUCUGCCCAUCCCUUCCGGCGCCCCGCCGGAGCCUGAUGCCCCGACCUGCAUCCCCAACCUGCAUCCCUGACCUGUUGACGAAGUAGAUGGAGUACUCGGAGUUGGACCGGAAGACCUCGAAGACCCUGAGGACUUAUGUGAGCCAAG